rnacentral:tRNA from 1 species
ACUAAUUUGGCAGAUAAAUGUAUUGAAUUUAGAAUUCAACAAUGUGAGAACAAUUAGUA